UUAACCUCAUGAUCCGCCUGCCUUGGCCUCCCAAAGUGCUGGGAUUACAGGCGUGAGCCACUGCACCCAGCCUUUUCACAUUUCUUAAAGUACAUUCUAAAACCAACUGGCCCUUAAUAAGAUAACUAUAGUAACCAUGCAAAGAAGGAAUUAUCUUCCAGGUACCACAGCCAGAACAUCUUAGAGGGCACAUCUGUUACAGAUAACAGAAGCCAAGGCACAAAUUAAUCAUUCAUCAUAUUUGCUUUAAAUUUAUACUAGCAAUUUGUCUUUUCAAACAAACAGAUCUGGUCUCAGGGCAUUCCAGCAAAAAAAAGUUAAAUAUUAACAGUUCUGAAAAUUAUUCAAAAAUAUCAGUUUAUAAUGUACUACUUGGUAUACAGAUAUUAACACUAUUUAAAAAAUUUUUUAAUUUCAUCAAAAUUUAAAAAAAUAUCAGUGUAUAAUGUAUUGGUAUAUGGAUCCAUAUACCAAUACAUUAUACACUGAUAUUUUUAAGAUUUUGAUGAAAUCUUAAAAUUUUUUAAACUUUCGAUGAAAUUACAAAUAAACUUUAUUAAAAUUUUGACGAAAUUACAGAUAAACUUAAUUACAAAUUAUUGAAGAAACCAUAGAAAAAAUUUUAUUGCAAUUCCAAACGACUUUCAAUAAUUUUAAAAAAAGGAUCAGCCUAUAUAUGCAUUUUUUAAAAUUAGACGUUUUUUACCCGCAGUGUACUUUAUAUCAAUGUUGUUUUUGAGGUAAGACAACCAUAAUUCCUAGGAAGUGUUUAAUUUGCUUGAUCACUAACAUGCAAAAAUAAUGGAAGCAGACUAUUAUUCUCAAGAUGCUACUUAUCUAAUAGUACAUAAAAUAAUCUUGACAGCAGUUGUUCAACUCUUUCCCAUAUUAAACAUUCUAACAUUAAAUUAUUAAAUAGUAUUCUGUAUUUACUCUAGGUUGAGAGGUUCUCUAAAAAACCCAAAAGAUAGCACACUUCUUUAAAAACACAAAAUUUUUUAAAAAGGAAGUUGAUAUGAUUUGAAUGUGCCCCCAAAUUUCCUGUGUUAGAAACUUAAUCCCCAAAUUCAUACAAUGAUGGUAUUUGGUGGCAGGGUCUUUGUGAGGUAAUCAGAAUUAAAUAAGGUCAUGGGUUGGGAGUGGGCCAUGAUGGGAUUGGUGGGUUUUGUAAGUAGGGAAGGAGAAACCUGAGGUGGCACCCUCCCGCCCUCUCACCAUGUGACUCCCUCCACUAUGUUAUGAUGUAGCUAGCUAGAAGGCCCCCACUAGAUGCCAACCCCCCAGUCUUGGACUUCCCAGCAUCCAAAACUGUAAGAAAUAGUUUUUAAAAAUACAUUACCAGUUUCAGAUAUUCUGCUGCAGUAACCGAUAAUGGACUAAGAUACAAGUUUUUGCCUGCUAGCCAUUAAUAGAAGCUGUGAUGUAAUUCUGUACUUCUUUAUGAAUACAGUGAAUAUGACAAUCAGAAUAAUAUAUCCACUUUAAUAUAAAGCUCUUUAUGCUUUACAUAAUUUGGAAACCACAUUCUGCCUAGCUCCCAAAUAUAAUGCCCUCAAAAGGAUGUAAUAUUCAAAAAGGUUUUAUUUAGGAUCUCUGAAACAAACUUAAAGAUGGGAGUGUCACUUAUAUAAUCUAGCUCCCAUAUCUGUCAUACUCAUCCAGUGUCACAAUAAAGAGUAUUUAACAAUGUAAAUAAUUCCUAACUCUCCCAUUACCCUUAAAGACAGAAUUGCAUUUCCACCAUCUACUGGAUCUUUCAAUCUGGAUAUCACAACUAAAACUAAACACUUCUUUUUAAAAACAACCAUCAUCAUUCCUCCUACAGCCUCUCUCUUUAACCUCUUCUCCCUCUCCUGUCUCUCAUCUUUACUUAUCAUUAACAUCAAUCCAGAUACUCAAGCUAUGAGCUGAACCAUCUAUUGCUGGUUUUUUUUAAAGACCAAAAAAUUAAAUACAAUUCAAACUAAUAAAAACUUCUCAUGAGUAUCUCUGACCUGUUUCUCUACCCUGUUUCCCUCAUAUCCAAUCAGUCAAAAAGCCUCAACAAUUACACCCUCUUACUGCUCUCUUCUUCCAUCCUGUCAUUUCCUUUCCUGCUCAUUAUGUUCUCUAUUCCUGUAACAGAUCUUUCAAUUUUACUGGUCUUCUUAUUGUAUAUCUAUAAUAUUACAUGUUAUAGAUGUACUAUAUUAUCAUCUCCAGAAACAACUAUGCCCGAAACACAAAUCAAAGCUGAAAAGGUCCCAUUAAUUAUAGAAUUAAAUCUAAACUACUGGCACAGCAUUCAGUAAUCUUUAUGACUUGGCCAGUCUCCACUGGACUACCUGCCAUUUCUUAAACAAAUCAAACAUGCACUUUCAGACCCUUAUACCUUCGAUCGUACUAUUCCUUUAAUUUGAAAUGUUCUUACUGCCCCUUUACCUACAGAAAUCUGUCUCAUUCUUCAGUGUCAGGAGACAGAAAUCAUUCAGA